rnacentral:rRNA from 1 species
GACGAACGCUGGCGGCGUGCUUAACACAUGCAAGUCGAACGGAAAGGCCCUGCUUUUGUGGGGUGCUCGAGUGGCGAACGGGUGAGUAACACGUGAGUAACCUGCCCUUGACUUUGGGAUAACUUCAGGAAACUGGGGCUAAUACCGGAUAGGAGCUCCUGCUGCAUGGUGGGGGUUGGAAAGUUUCGGCGGUUGGGGAUGGACUCGCGGCUUAUCAGCUUGUUGGUGGGGUAGUGGCUUACCAAGGCUUUGACGGGUAGCCGGCCUGAGAGGGUGACCGGCCACAUUGGGACUGAGAUACGGCCCAGACCCCUACGGGAGGCAGCAGUGGGGAAUAUUGCACAAUGGGUGGAAGCCUGAUGCAGCAACGCCGCGUGCGGGAUGACGGCCUUCGGGUUGUAAACCGCUUUCGCCUGUGACGAAGCGUGAGUGACGGUAAUGGGUAAAGAAGCACCGGCUAACUACGUG